CCGCCAGUUCUUCUUCCCUUCUCUUCUUCUUCCUCCCGAAGAAAUCCCCAAGCCGAUCUCCUCCAUGGCCGCGCCUCCCUUCCUCCUCACCCCGGCCGCGCGCGCGCCUCCUGCCCGAGCUCCUCGCCCUCGCUCCCCGCGCGUCUCCACCUCGCCCAAGCUCCUCUGCGCCGGCGACCCCCCUGCGCGCGUGCUCGCCAUCCACCGUGGCGCCAAGCUCCCUGCUCCUCCUCCCCGUCGACCGCUCCGCCUGCCCGCGCCUCCCUCUGCUCCGCCCUCCACCGCGCCGUCGCGCGCGUCGCCCGCGUCCGCCCCUCGCGCGCGCCACCUCACCGCCGAGCGUCCUUGCCUGCUGCUCCCCACCGGCGCCGCCUGCCUUGCUCCCCCGCGCUGCCUCCACCUCUUGCGGCCCAACUCGCCAGGCCCAGCCGAGCCCCCUGCUGGCCCAUCUUCUCCAAGCCCAAGUCCAGCAGGCCCGUGGCCUUCUUCUUUUUUUUUCUUUUCUGUUUUUCUAAAAAUGUUUCCCUUAUGCGUGGGCCCCGUUUGUCAGCCGCCUGCUGCUUGCUGCUGUUGCCACUGGUACUUGCUGUUCUGCGACUGUGCUGCUGCCCCGUGUGUGCCGUGGCGCUGCCCAAGUCCGUGACUACGACCACGACGAAUUGAACAACUAUCUUUCCAUGAACGACUACGUCGCCUACGUGAACAACUACUUGGACUACGUCGACCACGUGUACGACUACCUCGCCCAUACGACUACUUUCUCUACGUCGACUACGUCUACCACGCGACGCCGCACAUGUCCAAGUCUUCGAUUCCUACGACGACGACUACACCUGUGUUCUUUUUCCAGGAUUCUUGCUCAAUUCCGGGCAAUUGAGUACUCCAGGCAAGCAGCCCUUCUUUGACCAUGUUAAUUCUACCUAUUGCUUCUCCCUCAAUC